UCGAUUCCCGUCACAGCGACGACGUGAUGUAGGGUUUGCAGCCGUGAGACACCCGUCCCGCCGCCAGCCAGCCGUCUUCCCAUUCCCGGCGGCCGUCAACGAGCAAGAACCUGUGCCGGACCACUGCAACGACUACGGCUUCGAUCUCGAUCUUCCUUUCUAUCCAAAUCUUGCAACCAAUCGGUUUUGCUCGCGAGAUCGAAACCACUUCAUUAAUUGCUCAGAGCUAGCUUCAUGUCGUAAUUCUUGAAACGUGGUUUCUCCGUCUCAGCCUGAGGCGAACAGCCAUCGACCAGGCGCCACCACCACCACCAGCCGCCGCCGCUGGAGUCCGCGCCGACAAGCCUCGCCGCCGGCUCGUCUUGCCCCGUCGUCCCCAUCGAGAAGCUCUAGGCUAUAAGAACUGGUUGGGUCCAUCCAAAUCUGAAUUUAGAAAAUCCAGAGAAAAUUGUGAUGAAGUGAAGAAUAUUAUUGGACCUGCCUAGUUAUCCUAUGGCUAAGCAACAAAAAUAAUUAUUGCAUGCAUAGUUCUUCACAACUUUAUUCCAGAAAGCGCUUUGAUGGAUGAAGACUUUGAGAGGCGUGAUCAAGACGUGAACUAUAUCCCAAGUGAGGGUCAAUCAUCUUCAUCUCAAAGAGGUGGUGGCAAUGGAUUAGGAGAUAAAGAUGGAGACAUGAAUAUCUUUCGUGAUAAUCUUGCUAACAUUUUAUUUUCUAUGAGAGAAUAGAUUAUUAUUAUCCUUGAUAUCCAUUAGAAGAUAUG